GUUGCUAGGUAGUCCAGCACUUCCGCUGCUCUUGGAUGCUUCUGGAAAACCCGAGUGUGUUGACGUUGGAGUGCCUCAGACGUGCCGCGCUUUGAUGACGGCAACGUUUCUCCCGCCUCCCCGGCGUUUCGACGACGGUGGCGGCAGCUGCGGUGUGUGGAAGGCGUGGAUAGGCGGCCACGGCGGUGUCUGGAUGACAUUCUGGACACCAGCUUAGUGGCCUGCCCUGGACUCUCCGCCUAACUCACUGCGAUGGACACUAGUCCGUUCCGGUUUCUGUGCCGUCUUCUGGAGGUGGUGUUUGGAUGCAAGAUGCAGUGUCCGAUGCAUUUUUAUUCUCAGGCCUUCAGAGAAUGUGAAGUUAGCCACUAGAAGGGAACGUACACUCCAUCUCUACGUUGGAGACCAUCUAGUGAGCAGAGAGCCUGUGUGCUCUGCAGCAGGGCUACAGGUCGGCUGACAGGCAGGUGCACGUGGCAACCGAGAACUCCAGCUCCCAGAAGUGGACCCAACGUGAGCCGCGUGACUCUCGUGUGAUCCACCGUCAUCCACGGCCAGCUCGAGUCCAGGAAGCUCAGGGAGAGGAGGAGAGCACCUACCAGCUGUGAGUCCUGAGGGGUCCUCCGGGGGUCAAGCCGUGGAGCAGUGGGCA